rnacentral:lncRNA from 1 species
GAAUCUUUUGGAUACAGCAGUCCAGGACCCAGAUAUUUGCUGAUUUAAUGAAUUAAUACACACUUUAUCAACCAGCAACACCAAGAGGUGGCCGGUUAAGGAUUUAGAGUCCCAGAAAAGUAUUUCUUCUAUUAUGAAUAAUUACUGAAGAGUGUGUGUUUGCGUGUGUGUGUGUGUGAUACACACACACACAUAAUAGUAUAUAUAGGGGUGCCUGGCUGGCUCACUUGGUGGAACAUGCAACUCUUGAUCUCUGGGUCGAGUUGGAACCCCAUGUGUGUCGUGGAGUUUACCUAAUUUUUUUUUAAUUGUAUAUAUAAUGCCACACUCUCCACCCCAAAUGCUCCCAUUUCAGAAAAUAAAUCUUUAGAUUUUUUGUACUUAGAUGGACAAAUGUGUAUUUUGGUUUAUGAAAAUCAUCAAAGUAUUUAUGUUUUUAGAUUUGCAUACUUUACAAACAACUCUUUCUAGAGUUCUAGAACUGAAUGAUUACAAAUUUAGACUGCAGCCUCUAUUUGUGAUACAGGUUUGGGGGCUCAAAAAAAUCCUCAGGUCAUGGAAAAGUGAAAGCUUAUCUUCCAUAAAAGUGACAAGAAGUAAAAACCAUGUUGAUAGAGCAUAAACGGACAUGAUGGAGUCAUGGGUAUGGAUGUGGAUUAAGACUGGGAAAGGAGACAUGAUACUGAUUCAUUAAGUAAAAAUAGUCAAAUUUCAGUGCAGGAUCUGGACUGUAGGUGAAAUAAUGGGCCUUGGUGUUUGACAACAGGAGAAUAAGAGGUGGUAUCAGGGUAAGCAGCAAAGAGGAAGAGGCAAUAACUCCCAAGACUGGAUGCUGACAGUCUCUGGUAACCAGAAAAGGCAAAUAUAAACAAAGAGGUGAGCGACGAUGCCUGGUGUGUUGAGAGUUGCGAAAUACAGGAAGGGUGCUGCAGCAAGGCCGCCGGUCAAAGUGGUUAACUGGGGAUCUGAGCUAGGCUGUGACGCGCGGCCCUCACGUGACCAGGAGCCUAUGUCUGCCCAAGUCCCUCUCGUCCAGGUCCUUUUUGCUUGUCCAGACACCGUCUGCCUACUGCCCUUUGGUCAAGGGGAAAAAGCAGGAGGAAGUCUGCGGGUCACAGCGGUGCGCCUCGAGGAGAGGAGGCCUAGAGCAAACCGCCAGGAGAGGUCCAGGUCAGGGAAGGGGUGGGCAAUGGCCCGGGGAUGGGGUGCGUGGGAGGACGCUGACUGGAACGGAGUCCGCAGUACCACCGCCCCGCCCCGCCCCUGUCACAAUGGGAGAGGCCUCUGGCAAGGCCUGCUGGGAAAAUGGUGGGCUUUCGGGAAGGAGGGGGCGAGCGGGGCUAACGGGGUGCGGCGCGGUCCCCAGGGCCAGAGAGCCCCUCGACAAGCAUAGGUGGGGGACCUGGGCCCCCAACUCAGGAAAAGGCAGUUAUGGGAACCCGUGGCCAGGGUUUUGAUCCAGCCACCAAGUGUGUUUACUCGACUCUGCCUUGUCUCCUAUGAAUAACUGUACUUAAAGAGGAUCCUCAAGAUGGAAAAAUCAUGCAAAGAAAAUGAGGAACAGCCAGAGAGCGCGCCCAAGACGGAUGAGGAACGGCCUCCUGUGGAACACUCUCCCGUAAAGCAGUCUCCGGAAGAACCGUCUUCCGAGGAGCAGUCGUCAGAGGAGGAGUUCUUUCCUGAGGAGCUCCUUCCUGAGCUGCUUCCCGAGAUGCUCGUGUCCGACGAGCGCCCUCCUCCGGAGCGCCUUUCUAGAAGGGACCUUUUUGAAGAGCGCCCUCCCAUGGAGCAGCCUCCUUGUGGAGUGGGAAAACAUAAGCUGGAAGAAGGAAGCUUCAAAGAGAGGCUGGCUCGCUCUCGCCCGCAAUUUAGAGGGGACAUACACGGCCGAAAUUUGAGCAACGAGGAGAUGAUAAAGGUGGCAGAGGAGAUGGAAGAAAUGAAAAGAGUACGAAACAAAUUAAUGGUCAUGCAUUGGAAGGCGAGACGGAACCGUCCUUAUCCUAUUUAAUGUGUUCCGCCUUUAAUUGUUUCCCCUGAUAGAAGGUUGCCACCUGAACUUUGUUUGCAUUUUCUCAUCUCAUGCACUUUCCCCAUCUCAAUUUUAACUUUUUGCGUGGCUUUAUUUUAGGUGUUUUGCUUGUAACUGGCAUAAAAUUGGGUUUUCCCCACCCACAAGCUGCAAGUCUCCCUCUCACCCAUUUGCAUGAAAAGGUGUACAUUAUAUAUUGUGAAGUGAAAACAAUUUUCAAAAAGUAUAUGUAGCAUCCCAUUUUUGUAAAAAAUGUAUAUUUGUAUAUUAAUAUGCAAAGAAAAAACAAAGUAUAUACUUAAAUGUCUUAACAGUGGCUAUCCAUGUGGUAAAAUAACAGGUGUUUUGGUUUUUCAUUUUGCUUAAUGGGAGCUUCUCAUUUUUCAAGACAAACAUAUUUUGCUUUUGUUGAAAAAAACAAUAUGGGGAAAAAUUUAAAAACUGUCAAUCGACUUAUAAAGACAAUGUGGCACUUAAUAAAUACUUGUCAGAACUUUAAAGAAAAGUAAAUCCCAUGUUUCCUUUAAAUCUCUUAGGCAGAAAAAUAAACCAGGUACUUCUACUUAAGGGUCAUUCUUUUUCUAUUUAAAUAGGAAUAAUGCUGGAUUUACAAGGCUGCUGUGGAACCAAAUGAAGAUCCUAGAGCUCUAUGGUUUUCCUCCACCUGCAUAUGCAGGACCCCCAACCCCUAUAAGAUACGCUUCAAAUAUUCAGUGGAUAGAACCCAAAGAUUUCACUUACACUCACAAAUAAUUCCUGUGAGAUUCCAGGUGAAUGACACAUUCUAUUUCUGUCCUGCUAUUCCCUUCCCUUGGACACUGCCACAUCUACUGGGAAUAGCUGCCCUUUUCCCUGGGUCUUGGUCCUUUCCUGACCCCCACCACAGCCAAGGUGCCUGGGUCCUCCAGUUGCAAAGCUUCACUGAUUUCUCUGGAGUCCCUCUGGGCCAAAGCUGAACUCAGUCUCCUACAGGUAAAUGGAGAAUGCCCCUCCUUCGGUUUUAAUAUUAUACAGGUGCAUAUCAUCCCAGUGCUGCUUAAACCUCAAUGUUUUAAAGAAUUCUUAGCAAAAUUGUCCCUUUUUUUCUGAAAGCCUCUCGUUUCUCCACUGGAUUCAAACAUGAGUUCACUGAGACCUGGGCUAGGAGACAAACUUGCAAGCCAGACACAAUGCUAUGUAUUCAGAAUUGGAAUCUCUCCCAAUAAUCUUCAAAAAUGACUAAGGUUUUAGGUACCUAAUAUUUGCCUUAGGGUGAGUUCCCUCCCAAGGGUUUCUGGCAGACUUCCCUUAACCAAGUCAGCUGACUUGCUCAACUUGUAUAAAUUAGAGAGGAAGGUAAGACUUAGCCUCAAGUUAGGACAUUUCCCCUCUACCCCACCCCUCAUCACCAAGAAACAUUCAAAAGUACUUUGUAAGUCAUUAAAGUAUUAUCUAUGUGUAUGCAUAUACAUAUAUAUGCCUGUGUGUAUCAGAUAUUAUGAUUUCUCAAACUACCCUCAUAACACCUAAGAUUUUGUUUUAUUGUUCCUGUUGAUUCUAGAAACAUGGAUAGUGGUUAAUUUUUUAAAAUUAUGACCCAGUCAUGAACCCUGAGUUUGUCUGAUUGACUAUGUAGCUUCAGUAUGUUCACUUCUCUAGAAAGUAUGAUUUGCAGUUCCAAAAGGAUCACUGUGGGGAGGAAUUCCUUCACCAAAUUCAACAUUAAAAUUAUUUACAUAUUUUAUAUAUCAGCAUUUCUCUUAUAAAAAAUGCAAAGACUGGGCUCUACCCCAGACCCACUGCAUUUCCUUUUCUGUCAAUUACCACACAAGUUAGAGAACCACUGCUAUAUGCAGUAUACUCCUGGUUUUAGUAAGAAUAAAUCAUAAUAUAAAAGAAAAUGCAGAUUAUUGUAUCAAAAUUUAAAAGGGUGAAAGGCUUGGGGUGCCUGGCUGCCUCUGUCCGGUUAAGUGACCUACUCUUGGUAGGUCUCACAGUUCAUGAGUUCUAGCCCUGCAUCUGACAGUGUGGAGCCUACUUAGGAUUCUCUCUCUCUCCCUCUCUCUCCGCCCCUCCCCUGCUCAUGCUGUGUCUCUCUCUCUCAAAAUACACUUUUUUAAAAAAGUGAAAGCCUUGUCCAAGCAUAUUUUUAAGAAACUAAAAACAACCUUAUCAAUUUUACUACAUAAGAUAAAGAAUUUGGGGCGCCUGGGUGGCUCAGUUGGUUAAGUGUCCAACUUCAGCUUAGGUCAUGAUCUCACAGUCUGUGAGUUUGAGCCCCACAUCAAGCUCUGUGCUGACAGCUCAGAGCCUGGAGCCUGCUUCAGAUUCUGUGUCUCCCUCUCUCUCUGCCA